CACAAGCGUCCUCUCUGUGGUUGGGCGCCGAUGUCUCACUCGAUGACGAUGACGGCAAAUGGAUUGACGGAUCCUCGUUCACGUUCAAGCGCCAUUGUGAAGGUGACACCGAAGGGGGGCAUUGUCUCUCCUUGCUCGCUGGCAGCGGCGACUGGAAGUACGACCCGUGCGGCAACGAGAGAGGCUACGUCUGCAAGAAAAGAGGAAAAGGAGUGAAAGAAUCUUCCCCGACUCUUGUCG